UGGGGAAUUUUGGACAAUGGGGGCAACCCUGAUCCAGCAAUGCCGCGUGAGUGAAGAAGGCCCUCGGGUUGUAAAGCUCUUUUGUCAGGGAAGAAACGGUGAUCUCUAAUAUAGAUUGCUAAUGACGGUACCUGAAGAAUAAGCACCGGCUAACUACGUGCCAGCAGCCGCGGUAAUACGUAGGGUGCAAGCGUUAAUCGGAAUUACUGGGCGUAAAGCGUGCGCAGGCGGUUUUGUAAGUCUGAUGUGAAAUCCCCGGGCUCAACCUGGGAACUGCAUUGGAGACUGCAAGGCUAGAGUGUGUCAGAGGGGGGUAGAAUUCCACGUGUAGCAGUGAAAUGCGUAGAGAUGUGGAGGAAUACCGAUGGCGAAGGCAGCCCCCUGGGAUAACACUGACGCUCAUGCACGAAAGCGUGGGGAGCAAACA
rnacentral:rRNA from 1 species